AUCAUGUCAUCUGAUUUUCACGUAUAUCCAUUUGGUGUCAAAGCUGUCAAUCACGCCGCGUAUCUCCCGCCCUGUGGAAGCAUCUCGCCGGUCUCGUGAAGUUUCAUCGAAGCUCAGCACUGGAUAGCCGAAUAACACUGUGAGGAUGUCUGUCUCUGUAAAGGAGCUGUGUGAAUUGAUGAAUGUUAACUAUGAUAGGGCUGUUAUUGAGGCGAUUGCGAGGGUCAACAAUGAGGAGGAAGAUUCACUUGAAAGUGACAGUUCUCAGACAGCUGCCAAUGAGGAUUCUCUGGAAAGUGAUAAAGAAAAUCAUUCCGAAAUAGCUGCCAGUGAGG